rnacentral:rRNA from 1 species
UGGGGGGUGGAGUAACGCCCUACCAAGGCGAUUACGGGUAGCCGGCCUGAGAGGGCGACCGGCCACACUGGGACUGAGACACGGCCCAGACUCCUGCGGGAGGCAGCAGUGGGGAAUAUUGGGCAAUGGGCGAAAGCCUGACGCAGCGACGCCGCGUGGGGGAUGACGGCCUUCGGGUUGUAAACCUCUUUUACCACCAACGCAGGCUCGGGGUUUUCUCCGGGUUGACGGUAGGUGGGGAAUAAGGACCGGCUAACUACGUGCCAGCAGCCGCGGUAAUACGUAGGGUCCGAGCGUUGUCCGGAAUUAUUGGGCGUAAAGAGCUCGUAGGCGGCGUGUCGCGUCUGCUGUGAAAGACCGGGGCUUAACUCCGGUUCUGCAGUGGAUACGGGCAUGCUUGAGGUAGGUAGGGGAGACUGGAAUUCCUGGUGUAGCGGUGAAAUGCGCAGAUAUCAGGAGGAACACCGGUGGCGAAGGCGGGUCUCUGGGCCUUACCUGACGCUGAGGAGCGAAAGCAUGGGGAGCGAACAGGAUUAGAUACCCUGGUAGUCCAUGCCGUAAACGUUGGGCGCUAGGUGUGGGGACUUUCCACGGUUUCCGCGCCGUAGCUAACGCAUUAAGCGCCCCGCCUGGGGAGUACGGCCGCAAGGCUAAAACUCAAGGAAUUGACGGGGGGCCCGCACAAGCGGCGGAGCAUGUUGCUUUAAUUCGACGCAACGCGAAGAACCUUACCAAGGGUUUGACCAUCACCCGUGGAACCUGCAGAGAUGUGGGGGUCUAUUUGGUUGGCGGGUGACAGGUGGUGCAUGGCUGUUCGUCAGCUCGUGGUCGUGAGAUGUUGGGUUAAAAGUCCGCGCAACGAGCGCAACCCUUGUUCCAUUGUUGCCAGGCACGUGAUGGUGGGGACUCAUGGGAGACAUGCGCGGGGUCAACUCGGAGGAAGGAGUGGGGAUGACGUUCUCAAGUCAUCAUGCCCCUUAUGUCUUGGGCUCAAAAACAAUGGCCGGUAAAUGGGCGUGCGAUGCCGU